GACGAACGCUGGCGGCGUGCUUAACACAUGCAAGUCGAACGGAAAGGCCCUGCUUGCAGGGUACUCGAGUGGCGAACGGGUGAGUAACACGUGGGUGAUCUGCCCUGCACUUCGGGAUAAGCCUGGGAAACUGGGUCUAAUACCGGAUAGGAGCCAUUUUUAUUGUUAUGGUUGGAAAGUUUUUUCGGUGUAGGAUGAGCUCGCGGCCUAUCAGCUUGUUGGUGGGGUAAUGGCCUACCAAGGCGGCGACGGGUAGCCGGCCUGAGAGGGUGGACGGCCACAAUGGGACUGAGAUACGGCCCAGACUCCUACGGGAGGCAGCAGUGGGGAAUAUUGCACAAUGGGCGCAAGCCUGAUGCAGCGACGCCGCGUGGGGGAUGACGGCCUUCGGGUUGUAAACUCCUUUCGCUAGGGACGAAGCUUUUUGUGACGGUACCUAGAGAAGAAGCACCGGCUAACUACGUG
rnacentral:rRNA from 1 species